GGGUGGCGAGUGGCGGACGGGUGAGGAAUACAUCGGAAUCUACUUUUUCGUGGGGGAUAACGUAGGGAAACUUACGCUAAUACCGCAUACGACCUACGGGUGAAAGCAGGGGACCUUCGGGCCUUGCGCGAUUGAAUGAGCCGAUGUCGGAUUAGCUAGUUGGCGGGGUAAAGGCCCACCAAGGCGACGAUCCGUAGCUGGUCUGAGAGGAUGAUCAGCCACACUGGAACUGAGACACGGUCCAGACUCCUACGGGAGGCAGCAGUGGGGAAUAUUGGACAAUGGGCGCAAGCCUGAUCCAGCCAUACCGCGUGGGUGAAGAAGGCCUUCGGGUUGUAAAGCCCUUUUGUUGGGAAAGAAAUCCAGCCGGUUAAUACCUGGUUGGGAUGACGGUACCCAAAGAAUAAGCACCGGCUAACUUCGUGCCAGCAGCCGCGGUAAUACGAAGGGUGCAAGCGUUACUCGGAAUUACUGGGCGUAAAGCGUGCGUAGGUGGUCGUUUAAGUCUGUUGUGAAAGCCCUGGGCUCAACCUGGGAACUGCAGUGGAAACUGGACGACUAGAGUGUGGUAGAGGGUAGCGGAAUUCCUGGUGUAGCAGUGAAAUGCGUAGAGAUCAGGAGGAACAUCCAUGGCGAAGGCAGCUACCUGGACCAACACUGAC
rnacentral:rRNA from 1 species